AGAUUGAACGCUGGCGGCAGGCCUAACACAUGCAAGUCGAGCGGUAGAGAGGUGCGUGCAUCUCUUGAGAGCGGCGGACGGGUGAGUAAUGCCUAGGAAUCUGCCUAGUGGUGGGGGAUAACGUUCGGAAACGGACGCUAAUACCGCAUACGUCCUACGGGAGAAAGCGGGGGACCUUCGGGCCUCGCGCCAUUAGAUGAGCCUAGGUCGGAUUAGCUAGUUGGUGAGGUAAUGGCUCACCAAGGCGACGAUCCGUAACUGGUCUGAGAGGAUGAUCAGUCACACUGGAACUGAGACACGGUCCAGACUCCGUACGGGAGCAGCAGGUGGGGAAAUUG
rnacentral:rRNA from 1 species